rnacentral:lncRNA from 1 species
GGCGUAACAACAGGUGGCGGUGGGCACGGUGAUGGCGGUGGCGGUGGGCACGGUGAUGGCGGCGUUACGACGGGUGAAGGCGUAUGAGUGGGUGGUUUAGGGGUGGACGGAGGUGGUUUAACAGUGGGCGGUUUCGUGGGUGGUUUCGGGGUAGACGGAGGAGGUUUAACGGUGGGCGGUUUCGUGGGUGGUUUCGGGGUGGACGGAGGUGGUUUAACGGUGGGCGGUUUCGUGGGUGGUUUCGGGGUGGGAUGAGGUUUGGUAGGGGGUUUCGGAUGUGGGUGUGGUUUGACAGUGGGCGGUUUGGUAGGGGGUUUAGGGUGUGGGUGUGGUUUGACGGUGGGUGGUUUGGGAGGUUUUACUGCCGGUGGUUUAGGCGGUUUGCUAGGAUGUUUAGGCGGUUUGUGGGGGUGAGGUGAUGGUUUAGGAGGGCUACAGUCGCAAGCGAAGGAGACGGCAAGAAAGCCAAGGAAGAGGAGGAUAAGAAAAGAGAG